CAGGUAAGAGGAAGAUUUCAUGGCAGGAUCAGGUGGCAUUGAGGGUUUGACUUCUUAGUUCAACUGCAAUUGAAGAUUAUAUUUUGGUGAGGUUGGAAAAGUUUCUUUGCCAAAUCUUCUCACUAUUAACUCUCAUUUUCAUUUCUCCCUUACUUGUAAAGAAAAAAUAGAUCCAUGUAUUAUAGUCGUAGAUGAAUUGAUGCUGAGAUACCAAAUUUGUGUGCAUUAUAUCUUUGGUUAGCUUUCGCAGGGUAGUCAAAAGUCCACAAAUUGUUUACGUAGGUGCAAAAGCACGGUGAGAUAUGUGUCUAGUGCCCUAGGACCCUUCAAUUGAGGCUGGAACUCUGGGUCUUGCUUUAAUCAGGGGAUCACUUUUAGUCUUGUUGCGCUUUAUGAGAUGGAGAUGCAUAUCCCCUUGAUUGUGCCUUAAGCUUUUGUUAAACCCUUCUCUAAGCUUAGUUCAGGGAAAUCUAGGGGUCUAAUUUGGAGUUAUCAACAAAUUGUUUUUGGAAUUAUUGAAAGAUAAGUUCCAAAUUGUGUUACUGCUGCAGGUUUUAUCCUAGGUGAACAAUGUGAAAGGAAUUAUUGCUCAUUGUGCCUAUUCAGGCCUUUUCUUUUGUCUGGUGUGGGAAGUUAUGAGGGGG
rnacentral:misc_RNA from 1 species